rfam:Serratia sp. ATCC 39006 ctg2, whole genome shotgun sequence.
GAGUUUGAUGACAACGUCUCUAUAGCGGCGAUAAUGAGAAGAUCGUAAAGACGCUGCAAGUACCUCCCUGUAAGCUCAAGCCGCGCCAUCCCUGGCGCGGAUGCUUU